rnacentral:rRNA from 1 species
GCAAGUCGAGCGAGAAUCAAUGAGGGAAGACUUCGGUUGGAUCUAAUUGAGGAAAGCGGCGGACGGGUGAGUAACGCGUAGGCAACCUGCCCUUCACAGGGGGAUAGCCACUGGAAACGGUGAUUAAUACCCCAUAGACGUAGAGAUAGCAUGAUCUUUUUGGGAAAGAUUUAUCGGUGAAGGAUGGGCCUGCGUCUGAUUAGCUAGUUGGUAAGGUAAGAGCUUACCAAGGCGAUGAUCAGUAGCCGGCCUGAGAGGGUGAGC